AUGAGCGAAGAAUGGAAAAAAAAGAACGAGUAUGUAUUUAACAAAAACAAGCUGAAAAUACCUAUAAGCAAACAUAAUUAUGAAUUUAUCCUUAACGGACUUGACGAAAGUUUAAUGAGAAGAAAAAUACUUGAAUUGUUGAAUGCUCCAUAUAAAAAUAUGGAUUUAGAUAAUGACGUUAUAAAAAUAUUAAAAAAAAGAUACGACGUAGCUAAUAAAUUAGGAUACGAAAAUUGGUGUCAUUAUUCUAUUUCUCAAUUUACUAGUGAAAAGAAUAAUUAUAAAAAUAUAAAAAACUUUCUUAAUUUAAUUAAAAAAAAAAUUGACAAGGAUUAUGAAAAAAUAAAUCGUAAUAUAAAUAAGCUAUCAAAUUUGAAUAGAAGUGAUAAAAUUUGGGAUAGUAAUAAUAACUUAAAGAAAUUACCAAUUUACAAUUGGUAUUAUUAUUAUAAUAAAACCUUGAACGGGUCAGAUGAAUAUUUAAUAAAUACAUUUUUUCCACAAGAACAUGUAUUAAAAAAAUUUAUAAAUAUUUGUUCUAAAAUUUAUAAUUUUUCUUAUGAGAAAGUAAGUAUUACUGAUAACAUUAAUAAAAUGAGAAAAUUAAAAAUAAAGUGGCCCAAAAAUAGUUGUAUAUAUAAAAUAAGUUUACCUGAGAAAUUAGAAAGGUGGGGUACAUGGGGAAAACAAUUAAUCAAUGGAAGUAGUGUUACUACAUCUGGGGGAAGUAGCAUAAGUGAUGAUUCUAAAAUAUGUGGUAGCGAAAACCUAUUUUCAAUAAAAAGAAGACAUAAUAACAGAUUGUUAGGUUAUAUAUAUGUAGUUCCGUAUAGUGACAUAAAAUUAAUAGACUAUUUUAAAGUACCUUCUAUGCAAGGUUUAUCAAAUACUUGUUUAAUAUUACCAGGUCAUGUGUUAAUAGAUUAUAAUUUUAUUCGAUGUAUACCAAUAAAAAAUAAAUUAUUUAGCAUGUCCGAAAUAUUAACAUUAUUUCAUGAAUUUGGCCAUGCAUAUCAUUUAUUAUUAUUAUCGAAUAAAUAUAAGCUAAAAGACUUAUUUCAUAUACCUAUUGAUUAUGCAGAGUUUUUUUCACAUAUUAAUGAGCAUAUAACUAAUAAUUAUAACAUUAUGUAUAAUUUGUCAGGUAAUCUUGAAUCAAAUACAAAAAUAUGUGAACAACUAUUUAACGCUAUAAAAUUUGAUGAUUCUAGAUUAAGUAAUAUUUAUUACCCAGGAGUUAUAGAUUAUACCUUACAUACUAUAAACCCAUACACUUUUUUUUCAAACGAGAAAAGUGACGACAUUUACAGCAAAAAAGAUAAUAUCAUGUCCAAUAUUAAUAAAGCACAUAGUAAUAUUUAUAAAAAUACCAGUCGUGUUAACACUUGUGAAAAUACUAGUCCGUUUGAUAAGUUUUAUAACAUGAUUGAAGUAUAUUUUCCAUAUAGCUUUUCUUCUUCAUAUUAUACAUUGCACUCUUCAAGUUUUCCUUACCACUUUUCCUGUCACUAUGCUGGAUCCGUAUUAAGUUAUUUAUUUGCCGAAGUUAGAGUACUUUUAAAUAUACCUUUUAAAGACAUAUCCUUAAAAAAAAAUGAUUCGUUAUAUUUUUUUCAAAAAACGUUUUAUAAAAUUUUAUCCCAAGAUUUUAAAAGCGAGACCUACCCAUCAGUAAUUGCUCAGGCAUUGGAUAAAAACAAAACUGUGUUUUUUCUCAAAUGA
ensembl:lncRNA